GACGAACGCUGGCGGCGUGCUUAACACAUGCAAGUCGAACGGUAAGGCUCCAGCUUGCUGGGGUACACGGGUGGCGAACGGGUGAGUAACACGUGGGUGACCUGCCCUGCACUUCGGGAUAAGCCUGGGAAACUGGGUCUAAUACCGGAUAGGACCAUGGUGUGGAUACUGUGGUGGAAAGUUUUUUCGGUGUGGGAUGGGCCCGCGGCCUAUCAGCUUGUUGGUGGGGUAAUGGCCUACCAAGGCGGCGACGGGUAGCCGGCCUGAGAGGGUGGACGGCCACAUUGGGACUGAGACACGGCCCAGACUCCUACGGGAGGCAGCAGUGGGGAUUAUUGCACAAUGGGCGGAAGCCUGAUGCAGCGACGCCGCGUGGGGGAUGACGGCCUUCGGGUUGUAAACUCCUUUCACCAUCGACGAAGGGUUUCUGACGGUAGAUGGAGAAGAAGCACCGGCUAACUACGU
rnacentral:rRNA from 1 species